rnacentral:rRNA from 1 species
CCCGCUGAACUUAAGCAUAUCAAUAAGCGGAGGAAAAGAAACCAACAGGGAUUGCCCCAGUAACGGCGAGUGAAGCGGCAACAGCUCAAAUUUGAAAUCUGGCCCCGGGCCCGAGUUGUAAUUUGCAGAGGAUGCUUUUGGCGCGGCGCCUUCCGAGUUCCCUGGAACGGGACGCCAUAGAGGGUGAGAGCCCCGUCUGGUCGGACGCCCAGCCUCUGUAAAGCUCCUUCGACGAGUCGAGUAGUUUGGGAAUGCUGCUCUAAAUGGGAGGUAUAUGUCUUCUAAAGCUAAAUACCGGCCAGAGACCGAUAGCGCACAAGUAGAGUGAUCGAAAGAUGAAAAGCACUUUGGAAAGAGAGUGAAACAGUACGUGAAAUUGUUGAAAGGGAAACGCUUGAAGUCAGUCGCGUCUUCUGGAACUCAGCCGUGCUUCUGCUAGGCGCAUUUUCCAGUUUGACGGGUCAGCAUCGGUUUCGGUGGGCAGACAAAGGCGCAGGGAAGGUGGCCGCUCCGGUGGUGUUAUAGCCCUGCGUUGUAUGUGCCCGCUGGGACCGAGGAAUCCGGCUCGCGCCUGGGAUGCUGGCGUAAUGGCUCUAAGCGACCCGUCUUGAAACACGG